GAUGAACGCUGGCGGCGUGCCUAAUACAUGCAAGUCGAGCGAACGGACGAGAAGCUUGCUUCUCUGAUGUUAGCGGCGGACGGGUGAGUAACACGUGGAUAACCUACCUAUAAGACUGGGAUAACUUCGGGAAACCGGAGCUAAUACCGGAUAAUAUUUUGAACCGCAUGGUUCAAAAGUGAAAGACGGUCUUGCUGUUACUUAUAGAUGGAUCCGCGCUGCAUUAGCUAGUUGGUAAGGUAACGGCUUACCAAGGCAACGAUGCAUAGCCGACCUGAGAGGGUGAUCGGCCACACUGGAACUGAGACACGGUCCAGACUCCUACGGGAGGCAGCAGUAGGGAAUCUUCCGCAAUGGGCGAAAGCCUGACGGGGCAACGCCGCGUGAGUGAUGAAGGUCUUCGGAUCGUAAAACUCUGUUAUUAGGGAAGAACAUAUGUGUAAGUAACUGUGCACAUCUUGACGGUACCUAAUCAGAAAGCCACGGCUAACUACGUG
rnacentral:rRNA from 1 species